GGCGUGGUUGGUGACACGCCUCCUCUUCAUGAGAGGUGACUGAUGGAGGAGAAAGAGAAUGUGCUUCUUUCUUCCUCGCUAACAAUAGAAGACCCUGAUAUAUUAGUCGAUCCAGAAGAGCAGAGAGCCUUCUACAGUUUCGUGAGGGAAUGCGUGAUUAGUCUCCUCUUGUGCAUGUGUGUAUACAUCUGUGGCUACUCAAUUGUUAAAUAUUUCAAGAAAGCAAAAGAGAGUGGAACCUUAAAUAAUGAGCAAGACGCCAUAGUGUACAAAAUAACGUAAGCCAAUUACACAUGUACAUGUGCAUGCACAUGCACAUGUACAUGUACA